UGCAGGGCAAGAUGGGGACUCCCAUGUGAGAUGAAAUAAUGUUUAUACUUUUUAAGUCCUACAAUGACGUAGUGAUGCACAGCUAUGAGACAAAAAAGGUUACUGCACAUUGAAGACACAGGGUGGAACAAAUAGGGAGAAAAGGUUGCAUUAAAGCAUACAUUUUAGUCAUACAAUACUCAUAUUUCUCGGCGUGAAAAAGGCACUUUGUCAUUUCUUGAUGAGGGCAUUUCUUGUCUGUCCAUUCUACUACAGAAAGGUUUGAGUAAACAAGGAAAAGAUGAGACCAGACAAUGCCUUUGAUACAAAAUCCGUAGGAAAAUUUUUAUUCUGACAUUCACAUCCAACUACAAAAAAGCAUACUGUGUUGAA